rnacentral:rRNA from 1 species
UGCAAGUCGUACGAGAGUUUUUAACUCAAGUGGCGGACGGGUGAGUAACACGUAAGAAUUUGCCUCUAGGAGGGGGAUAACAACUGGAAACGGUUGCUAAUACCCCAUAUGCUUUCGAGUGAAAUGGAUUUCCGCCUAGAGAGAAGCUUGCGGCUGAUUAGCUUGUUGGUGAGGUAAUGGCUCACCAAGGCGACGAUCAGUAUCUGGUUUGAGAGGACGAUCAGACACACUGGAACUGAGACACGGUCCAGACUCCUACGGGAGGCAGCAGUGGGGAAUUUUCCGCAAUGGGCGAAAGCCUGACGGAGCAAUACCGCGUGAGGGAUGACGGCCUAUGGGUUGUAAACCUCUUUUUUCAGGGAGGAAUCAAUGACGUGUACCUGAAGAAUAAGCAUCGGCUAACUCCGUGCCAGCAGCCGCGGUAAGACGGAGGAUGCAAGUGUUAUCCGGAAUCACUGGGCGUAAAGCGUCUGUAGGUGGUUUAAUAAGUCAACUGUUAAAUCUUGAGGCUCAACCUCAAAAUCGCAGUCGAAACUAUUAGACUAGAGUAUAGUAGGGGUAAAGGGAAUUUCC